AGGUUCUGUGAUACACUCGACU
rnacentral:miRNA from 15 species